GAUGAAGAACGCAGCGAAAUGCGAUAACUAAUGUGAAUUGCAGAAUUCAGUGAAUCAUCGAGUCUUUGAACGCACAUUGCGCCCCCUGGUAUUCCGGGGGGCAUGCCUGUCCGAGCGUCAUUGCUGCCCUCAAGCACGGCUUGUGUGUUGGGCUCCGUCCCCCCGGGGACGGGCCCGAAAGGCAACGGCGGCACCGAGUCCGGUCCUCGAGCGUAUGGGGCUUUGUCACCCGCUCUGUAGGCCCGGCCGGCGCCAGCCGACAACCCAUCAUCCUUUUCAGGUUGACCUCGGAUCAGGUAGGGAUACCCGCUGAACUUAAGCAUAUCAAUAAGCGGAGGA
rnacentral:misc_RNA from 1 species